GAACAGGAUCUCAAUGUCGCGGAUCCCACUGCGUCGGGUGCGUUUCCAGAAAAAACGUGUUCUCCAGGAACCACCUAAGCGCCAAGAAAAACACAGUACCUUUCGCAUGGGAGUUGUUCAGUUUGCGUCCGUUUCUCGACUUCCUUGUGCGACGGUAAUACGACUGAAAGAAAACCACAGAAAAGGCGUCCGUCUGAAAUAAAGCGCGUGGACAGCGCUCAAGGUCCAGGAUGAGGCACAAGGAGGACGCUGAGAGUGAUCUUUCCCCAGGAAUCCAGGAAUAGUAGCGGUAAACGGUUACGCUCACUGUCGGUUUUUGCUGCCCGUCCCGGUUUCCUUCAAAUCUGUUCCCUUCCACACCCCAAGCAGGGCUCUGGUUCGCGUCCUUGUAAAGUUGGUUCUCGCCAAAAACAGCCGGUUGUGGAAUUUGGUCCAUGUUUCCGCACGCUCAGUCCGUACUUGAAUGCUAGCCGAAGCACAGUCGCUCUCUUUGCAGAUGUGUUACGCUACGCACCACAGAGCUAUUCAAAUGUUCAAAUACAUCUGCAUCCAAUUGAACAGGCACACACUUGCGCAAAAAUUAGGUGAGUUCCCCGGAACCGUGCAGAGCCACUGGACCAGGUCAUGGAAUCAAGAAUUUUCAGAGACGAAAAACGAAACCGACCACCCGUAGCUAUUUGACUGUUCUGCGUGGACUCGUGGUGCUCGCAGGGGUAAGAGCGUGUGUUUUUUGCCUGAGGCUGACCUGCUGUCGAUUCUCGGUGACUUUCAUGACAGUCACGAUCUCUCAUGAAGUUACUUCUAGAUAUACGGGCAGGGACCGUUGCGGAAUCUUAGUUCGGCUUCAAGCAUCUCCUAAUCUUAGAGAAUGCAGGACAGUUGACGCUGAGCCUGCCUCCCGUUUCCUUGGCGUGGGCAAUGUGUUACUGUACAAUGGCGUCGUGAAACACAUCCUCUUUGUGAACAGGUGCCAGCGACGCGAAUGCUUCUACGGGCCGGGGUGUACAGCAUUCAUAAGAGAACUUGGUUGUCUCGGGGGCACUCCUGAUGGUUGCCUUUCAGAACAAGAACCAGAGGCAUCAAUAUCGGAUAUAUUCAGGAACUGAUCAGAACGUUCAUGCGGCUAUUGUACGGGGGAAAGGGAAGUUGGUCAGUAUUUGCACAGCACGACGCAGCUGGCACAGAGACAACCUGGGAGGCUAGCGUGCGUUGUUGGACUUUUGUUGUUAUCUUAUUGCUAUCGCAUGCGUGUGACUUUAAAAUUAUGAUUCGUAUUAGUGGAUAAUUCCACACCACAAAAUCACAGUGUUCUGCUUUCGCUUGUAGCAGUCGCCUUUCAUGGUAAAAAUAGAC
rnacentral:lncRNA from 1 species